rnacentral:rRNA from 1 species
GACGAACGCUGGCGGCGUGCCUAAUACAUGCAAGUAGAACGCUGAAGAGAGGAGCUUGCUCUUCUUGGAUGAGUUGCGAACGGGUGAGUAACGCGUAGGUAACCUGCCUUGUAGCGGGGGAUAACUAUUGGAAACGAUAGCUAAUACCGCAUAACAAUGGAUGACACAUGUCAUUUAUUUGAAAGGGGCAAUUGCUCCACUACAAGAUGGACCUGCGUUGUAUUAGCUAGUAGGUGAGGUAAUGGCUCACCUAGGCGACAAUACAUAGCCGACCUGAGAGGGUGAUCGGCCACACUGGGACUGAGACACGGCCCAGACUCCUACGGGAGGCAGCAGUAGGGAAUCUUCGGCAAUGGGGGCAACCCUGACCGAGCAACGCCGCGUGAGUGAAGAAGGUUUUCGGAUCGUAAAGCUCUGUUGUAAGUCAAGAACGGGUGUGAGAGUGGAAAGUUCACACUGUGACGGUAGCUUACCAGAAAGGGACGGCUAACUACGUG